rnacentral:ncRNA from 1 species
CAUGUGGUUUAAUUCGAUGCAACGCGAAGAACCUUACCUACUCUUGACAUCCAGCGAACUUGGCAGAGAUGCCUUGGUGCCUUCGGGAACGCUGAGACAGGUGCUGCAUGGCUGUCGUCAGCUCGUGUUGUGAAAUGUUGGGUUAAGUCCCGCAACGAGCGCAACCCUUAUCCUUUGUUGCCAGCGAUUCGGUCGGGAACUCAAAGGAGACUGCCGGUGAUAAACCGGAGGAAGGUGGGGAUGACGUCAAGUCAUCAUGGCCCUUACGAGUAGGGCUACACACGUGCUACAAUGGCGCAUACAAAGAGAAGCGACCUCGCGAGAGCAAGCGGACCUCAUAAAGUGCGUCGUAGUCCGGAUCGGAGUCUGCAACUCGACUCCGUGAAGUCGGAAUCGCUAGUAAUCGUGGAUCAGAAUGCCACGGUGAAUACGUUCCCGGGCCUUGUACACACCGCCCGUCACACCAUGGGAGUGGGUUGCAAAAGAAGUAGGUAGCUUAACCUCCGGGAGGGCGCUUACCACUUUGUGAUUCAUGACUGGGGUGAAGUCGUAACAAGGUAACCGUAGGGGAACCUGCGGUUGGAUCACCUCCUUA